rnacentral:lncRNA from 1 species
CUACAAUGGACAAAUGAUGGUGCAUUUCUGUCUCUAUAGAUUUUAAUCAAUGCAUUAGUCAGAUCUCAAUUAUGAGAAAAUUUUGAGGAAAUAUUACCCUAGAGUAAAUUUUAAUUUAUGCUGAAAAAUUUUAAACGCAUCCUAUUUUGCAUCAAAGUGCAAGUGUGAGUAAAUUAUGUAUGACGACUUCUUGCUUAAAGCCUCUUAGAAAAGAAGAAUAUAUUUGCUUGCAUCUCACUAAUAUGCCAAUGUUUAGGUAGCUACAUUUACACCUGUUUGCCACAGGUAAACUGAAUAGAACAUCAGACAGCUCAUUAUAGAGACAAGUAUGCUCCAUUCCCAAAGUUGGAUGACAGAACAAGUCAUGACCUUGUGUGGAAGAAAAUGAGAUCCCGAGUGAAGUCUACAAUGUCAUUGACUCUGAAGAAGGACUCAGAGACCCAUUGGUGUUUAAUGACCCUUACUGGCCUAUGCAAUGGGAACUGGACUUUGACCAACAUCAUAUUCUAAGAACUCAUGGAGUAUUUGAUUCACUGGCAUGAAAUCCUGUACAACAACAUCUGAGACCAAGAGAUACAUUUUUUUUGUAAA